rnacentral:SRP_RNA from 1 species
UCUGGGUGCAGUGGCACAUGCCUGUAGUCCCAGCUACUCGGGAGGCUGAGGCUGGAGGAUCGCUUGAGUCCAGGAGUUCUGGGCUGUAGUGCGCUGUGCGGAUCGGAUGUCCACACUGAGUUCAGCAUCAAUGUGGGGACCUCCCCAGAGCGGGGGACCACCAGGUUGCCUAAGGAGUGGUGAACCGGUCAAGGUAGGAAACAGAGCAGGUCAAAACUCCCAUGCUGACCAGUAGUGGGAUCAUGCCUGUGAAUAGCCACUGCCCUCCAGCCUGGGCAACAAAGAGAGACCUAGUCUCU